rnacentral:rRNA from 1 species
UAAGCCAUGCAUGUCUCAGUAUAAGCUUCUAUACGGCGAAACUGCGAAUGGCUCAUUAAAACAGUUAUAGUUUAUUUGAUGGUCAUUCUUUACAUGGAUAACCGUGGUAAUUCUAGAGCUAAUACAUGCGCCCAAACCCGACUUCGAGGAAGGGUUGUGUUUAUUAGUUACAGAACCAACCCAGGCUCUGCCUGGUCUUGUGGUGAUUCAUAAUAACCGAACGAAUCGCUAUCCCAAGCGAUGAAUCAUUCAAGUUUCUGACCUAUCAGCUUCCGACGGUAGGGUAUUGGCCUACCGUGGCGUUGACGGGUAACGGAGAAUUAGGGUUCGAUUCCGGAGAGGGAGCCUGAGAAACGGCUACCACAUCUAAGGAAGGCAGCAGGCGCGCAAAUUACCCAAUCCUGACACAGGGAGGUAGCGACAAGAAAUAACAAUACAGGGCAUUAUUGUCUUGUAAUUGGAAUGAGUAGAAUUUAAAUCCCUUUACGAGUACCGAUUGGAGGGCAAGUCUGGUGCCAGCAGCCGCGGUAAUUCCAGCUCCAAUAGCGUAUAUUAAAGUUGUUGCGGUUAAAAAGCUCGUAGUUGGAUUUCUGCCGAGGACGACCGGUCCGCCCUCUGGGUGAGCAUCUGGCUCGACCUGGGCAUCUUCUUGUAGAACGUAGCUGCCCUUGAUUGUGUGGUGCGGGUAUC